AUUGCCAUUGAGUGUAAAUUUAUAAAAGUGAAUUCUUAGGUUCCUAUUCAAGUGAUUAAGGAACUAUAUUAUCAAUUCUACAUAAGAACGAUAGAAUAAAAAGGAUUAUGGUUUAAUCGAGACUAUACACACUCAGAUAUUUUUUGUUCUGUAGUUAUAAAACAGAGAAGAAAAUAUAUGAUUAAAAUUACUAUUUACAACUAUUACACGAACGAAAAUAUAUUACUGCAAAAAACUUGUACUUCUAAGAGAACUAGAACAAAAAAAAUGAAUAAUGAAAUGUACCGGGGUGAACAAAUAAGUAGAAAUAGAAUAAAUGGGAGGAGAUGAAUAAUAAAUAGAGUAAAACUGUUAGUAGAAAGAAUCAGUUUCAGGAAUAUAAAAAUAAGUAUACAUACAUAUUACAAUACUAGAGACUGCGAAUAAAUAAAAAGGUACAUAUAACCCGUAUGAGUUAUUUAACCACUGAUACAACUGAAGACUGACUAUUGAUCCAAUUACGUACAUUAGAUCUGAAAUCGCCAUACCAAUUGCUUUGAUGUUCGCAGGGAAAAGCUCUGCUGUAAGUACUAUUGGAACAAUCCCAAUUCCCAUCUUAAAGGAAGCAGCAUAAAACAUUACAGCUACAAUUGGUAGCCAACUGGCUGCUCGAACAUCAUAACCUGAUAACUUUAGAUGGAAAUAGAUAGCUAGAGCACUUAAACACAUAGCUGUUGUUAUCAACGAAAUCAUGAGCAUACAUCUUCUACCAUACUUGUCGACUUGCAAUGAAGAUAUAUAUGCAGAGAAGAACAUGAUGACAGCAAAAAUAAUUGCCGCUAUUGAUGAAUCUAUGUAUAUUGAUCCAGCAGCUUCCAAAAUAACAUGAAGAUUCAUUAGUAUGACGCUUAUAGCACAAAGAUGUUGUCCGGCGUCUAGAAUAGCCAUUAUAGUUAUAGCUUUUCUGUUUCCUUUUGCAACAAAUAAAUCUACGAAAUUUCCUUUUUCGGAUUUUUGUCGUGUUACAGCUUUCACAAUUUGAGUUAAUUCUCGAUCAAUAUUUCUACCAGGUCUGAAAAACCCUAACGAUUUCUUUCCUUCCAGCCUUUUACCUUUGUAAAUUAAAUAGUAAGGAGUUUCUGGCAUGAAAGGAAAUACUGAAAGUUCUAACGAUAAAACUACUAUGCCUAUGACAGGUGACACAUAAAAUGGAAGAUACGGACCUACACUAUAUACCAAAAUUAGACCUGAGAGCAUAUUUAAAUAAAUAACACUAGAUAAAAAUCCUCUUAUUUUGUGAUCUGCCAUCUCAGCUACAUACAUCGGAGCUGCCACGAAGGAUGUAUUAGCUGUUAUCCCAAAAACAAAUCUGGCUAUAAAUAACACUGGCAUAUUGGUAGCAAAUGCCACAGCUAUCCAUGAUAAUAAUGACAGAAAAGCAGCUAGCAGUAAUGACUUUUUUCUUCCUAUCUUGUCAACUAGGUAUAUGGUCAAAGGUAGUCCGAAAAAUGAGCCUGCCAUUAAGCAGGUUUCCAACCAUUCGGCUUCAUAUUUUGUAGUUCUUAUGUGGCUUUUCUCACUGAUAAGAUAGGGAAUCAUGGGAGCUGUCCAUCCAUAUGACAUUCCGUCAGAUAUGGCAAAAAGUGUUCCUGAAAUAAAUAAAGAAUAAUAAUUGAAUGCUACUUCUCAAUUUAAUUUUCAAUUGAUUAAAAUUCUUAGUUUCGUCAAGAGUGGAGAAUUCUAUUUCAUGAAAAAUGGUUAACUUACUAAACAGCAAACCAUAUUUUCAAUUGAAAUGAAAAUUCCUUCUACGAUACAAGAAUACUACGGAUUGUUGAAACUAUCAAAUACUUUUUUGAGUAUUUAGAUAUUUCAACAGUUAAUUACCAGUAAAAUGGAUUUUAUUUUACUGGUAAACUGCACAAUAAAACACUGAUUGGAUUAAUCAGUUUAUUAAACAAUUGUAUGAAAUGAAAAAGUCAACAAUUGACAGCGUUUCAUUGGGAAAACUUGAAUAAAAAUCAAGCCAAGGAAAGGCUCAUAUCAUUGUCAAUAUUUUAAACUUGUUAACUAUAUGUUUUUUUUGUUCCAGUGGAAUCGUAAUUCUGAUAUCUGAACAAUAAUGUUAAUCACAAUGCAGUAGAUUAUGGACCUUUUUCUGUUUAACUAUCUUCAUCAAAAUUGCACAAUAAUAUUUAUGUUGAAGUUUUUUCUCAAACAAUGUAAAAUAAUAAAUAUUACCAGAAA